rnacentral:rRNA from 1 species
GAUGAACGCUAGCGGCAGGCCUAAUACAUGCAAGUCGGACGGGAUUGAGUAGCUUGCUAUUCAUGAGAGUGGCGCACGGGUGCGUAACACGUAUGUAACCUACCCUUGUCAGGGGGAUAGCCUCUCGAAAGAGAGAUUAAGACCGCAUAACAUCGAAAUGUGGCAUCACAAAACAAUCAAAUAUUUAUAGGACAAGGAUGGGCAUGCGGAACAUUAGCUAGUUGGUAAGGUAACGGCUUACCAAGGCUACGAUGUUUAGGGGAUCUGAGAGGAUGACCCCGCACACUGGUACUGAGACCCGGACCAGACUCCUACGGGAGGCAGCAGCGAGGAAUAUUGGUCAAUGGGCGGCAGCCUGAACCAGCCAUGCCGCGUGCAGGAAGACGGCCCUAUGGGUUGUAAACUGCUUUUGCAGGGGAAUAAGCCUCGAUACGUGUAUCGAGCUGAAUGUACUCUGAGAAUAAGGAUCGGCUAACUCCGUGCCAGCCGCCGCAGUAACAC